AGUAGAUGCUGCCACUUUUCCUGGGACCUGUUUAUCCACCAUUAAUCUCUUCCAGUCUGACCACCACCAAACCUGGGGGAUGAAGCUGGGAAUUGUCUCCUCCAAUAGCAAAGAGCUUCCUAACGCAUGACGCACUGCAGGUCUGCCCCAGCGGGGCCCUUUCCAGCACUUCAUGAACAAGAAGGUGGAGAAGAGACUAGCCAGCUGGAAGGAGCGCUGCAGUCUCUAUGGAGACGUUGACAUGCACAAGUAUGAUCAGUCUGGGCAGGUCUUCACCCCUUUCCAAGUCCUCACCACCACGGUAGUUGCUGCCUAUCUACCCAUUCCCUGGCCAACGUUCCUUGUGCGUGUGCAUGUGUGUAGCCCAGAACUCAGCUUUCUUGAGAACCCAAGAAUGGAAAUCCCAAUUCUUCCCUCAAGGAGCUUCUCAUCUGCGAGAGAAACUGAGCCACAAGCCAAAAUAUAUGCUACAAACACAAAUACAAUUAAAUGUGAAUGA
rnacentral:lncRNA from 1 species